rnacentral:rRNA from 2 species
UGAUCCCAUGCCGAACUCAGAAGUGAAACGCGGUAGCGCCGAUGGUAGUGUGGCAUUCGCCAUGCGAGAGUAGGACACUGCCAGGCA